rnacentral:rRNA from 1 species
GGUGGUGCAUGGUUGUCGUCAGCUCGUGUCGUGAGAUGUUGGGUUAAGUCCCGCAACGAGCGCAACCCUUGAUCUUAGUUGCCAGCAUUCAGUUGGGCACUCUAAGGUGACUGCCGGUGACAAACCGGAGGAAGGUGGGGAUGACGUCAAAUCAUCAUGCCCCUUAUGACCUGGGCUACACACGUGCUACAAUGGACAGAACAAAGGGCUGCGAGACCGCAAGGUUUAGCCAAUCCCACAAAUCUGUUCUCAGUUCGGAUCGCAGUCUGCAACUCGACUGCGUGAAGCUGGAAUCGCUAGUAAUCGCGGAUCAGCAUGCCGCGGUGAAUACGUUCCCGGGUCUUGUACACACCGA